AACCAUAGAAACCUGCGGAGUACCUGCGGAGGGAUCAUCACAGUGUGUGGUGUCUCUACACCAAUCUUGUGUGAACUGUUGUGUGUGUUGGUGUGUGAUGUGCUGUGGCACUCCCACCACCACAAAUAUCACCUUCAAUCUUUGUCUAACAUGUACCCACAAUCUAAACAACUUUCAACAAUGGAUCU
rnacentral:misc_RNA from 1 species